rnacentral:lncRNA from 1 species
UGUGGACUAAGUUCUGUAGGGAAGAGACAGAAAUUGUCUAAAAUGUUCAAAUCUACCUUGUGCAUAUCUAUUGGAUUUUUAAGAGUGUCUGUGGCUCUCUUAAAAUCAUCCGGUCCCCCAUGGCAACCAACAGACACAAUAACUAACAGAUGCAGAAAAAGUGCCCCAUUCAUGUCGCACUUGAUGUUACACUUCAGCCAAAGUCUGGGAUAGAUUCCAUGCUUUCUCUCCUAAAUGGCUUUCCUUCCUCUCACUUCUCUCCCACAAAAUGCAGUAAUUCCACCAGAAGCUGCACAUAACCUACAACUUAAAUUUCCCAAAUAUGGCUUUCUCUUAGUCAAUUCCUUCCUCAUGAAACAGACAGAAGCUCUGACAUCCUCAGAGUGGACAUUCUAGUCCUCACCCUGUUACUCAAGGAUGGACAUGCUCCGGAGUCCUUGUGGUCCCACCUCCCAUAGCCCCCGUGCAAAUCCUGGGCAAAGAAGUAUACCUACCAGCCUUGGAAUGACCGUGUUUAUCUCCCUUCUCUGCCUCUGUUCCACGCCUUUGCUCCAUGCCAUCCAGGCAUCUGAAGUGACUUUCUUGCUUGUCAGUAAAUGACACCUUCCUUAAAAUAAAAUCGUCAACUUUUCAGGUAUUAAAUAAAACACUGACAAUACAAAUAAUACUUUUACUUUUUUUGAAAGAAACAUUUGCAAUACAAACAAUGCUUUGUUUUAAACAAUCAUGUUGGCAAAAUAAAAAGUGAUACUCCUAUGUUAGUCCUCUUACUAAAAAUAUUUUAUUUCGCUAAUCUUUUGAAUUAUAGAUUCGGGGAAGCAGAGACCUACAAAGAAGUCUGCCUUCAAAGACCCUGGCCUGACUCCAUUUGAGAGAGGAAAUUGACCCACAUGUGGGAGGACUGUCCUGAGGCUCCUGUGAGGCCAGGCCAAGAAACUUUAAGAUGGCCAAGAAACCUUGAGAUGGCCAAGAACGCUUUCUCCUGUCUGCUAAGAUUGCCCUCAGAGUUCUGGUUUCCUGUCUGAGGACCUACAUCUUCUUUCAGCCAUUGGCUGGACAGAUGUGGUCUACCCACAGGGCUGUGGUCUCAGCCUUGCAAGCCUCUAUGGAAUAACCACAUUAGAACAUGAUGUGCGUAGGAAAAAUUAUCAAUGUAUAUAAUGGUGAUAAUAUAAUUUUGAAGUCCCUCAACUUGCUGGCUUCUUUUACAUGUUCUUAUACUUACCUUUCCCCCAAUCUUUAGAGGUUUCCAAUUGUCUCAGGGAGGUUUAGGAUUGUUACAGAGGGAAUGCAAAAAAAAAAAAA